AAGCAUAGCCGGUCUUAUAGCGGUGCAAUAGAAUAUUGACAUCAACAUUGCUUUUAAAACAUCUUUCCUUUAUUACUCUAUUAUAGAAUGCAUUGGAUAAAGAUAGGGAACAUCAACCUGGUCUCCUUGAGGAAUAUCACUUAAGGAAUGGAAGAAGCCAUACUUACGGCCAUUUUUCUGUAGAAAAAGAGGCACUUAAUGGUGCGACAAAGGGAUCGCAAGGUGGAUAUAUUUCUGAGGAUGGGAAACUGAUUCUUGAUUUCAUACAAGCCAUUCAUGCUGCGGAAAAAAGGCAGGCUGACUUAGAUUCACAUGUUUUUAAUGAAGAGAAGAAAGUGUUGAAGGAAAAAUAUGAAAAGAAGUUGAAAGAGGCAGCUGCCAGGGAACUUAUGCUUGCUGAAGAGGCUGCAUUGUUGGACAAGGUGAACACGUUUUUCUCUUCUCUAGUCCAUGGGUUGGAAUGAGUAAGCCUGCUCCAAUUUUCCUAAACAGAGAGCUAGUCAACAGUCAUGUAUAAUGGAUUAAGUGUUUGUUUCGAUGUAUGCACUUUUUAUUCAACACAUUUACAUAGUCUUGUUUGUGAAUAUGACAAUUGGGUAAAUUACUAUUUUGGUCCCCAAUGUUUGGGUCAAAUCCUAAUUUGGUCCCUAACGUUUCAAAUGUCCCAUUUCUAUUCCAAAAAGUUUUAAACGGAUUCAAUGUUGUCCUACCAUUAAAUUUGACACGAAUAAUUAACAGUGAGUGAUGUGGACAUUAAUGUUAUUGUUAACUCAUAUCUUCUUCCGUAUUAGAAAAGCAUUACCAAAACCUUUUUAUAACAUUUUCUCUUCUCGAUUUCCUUCUUGUAAAUAAACCCUAAAUCCUAAUCAUCAAUGCUUCAAAAUCAAAGGAAAAGCUUUUACGUUGAUUAUCGUUGGUGGGUUGAUUUACUUUCUUUUCUAUUCAAUACACUAAUUGUUUAUAUCAAAUUUAAUGAUGGGAUAACAUUGAACUCGUUUGAAAAUUUGUGGGAUUGAAAUAGGACGUUUGAAACAUUUUGGGACUGAAAUAAAACGAUUGAAACGUUAGGGGCCAAAUUAGGAUUUGGCCGAAACAUUGGAGACCAAAAUAAUACUUUACCCUAUGACAAUUUAAGCAAUACCAUGCUAUCUUGAGUUUGACUCAAUAGUAUGGCAGGUCUAAUAAUAGUACUUUUUAAGAA